UACGGAGGGUGCGAGCGUUAAUCGGAAUUACUGGGCGUAAAGCGCACGCAGGUGGUCGGGUAAGUCGGAUGUGAAAGCCCUGGGCUUAACCUGGGAACUGCAUUCGAUACUGUCCGGCUAGAGUAUGGGAGAGGGAAGCGGAAUUUCCGGUGUAGCGGUGAAAUGCGUAGAUAUCGGAAGGAACACCAAUGGCGAAGGCAGCUCCCUGGCCCAGUACUGACGCUCAGGUGCGAAAGCGUGGGGAUCAAACAGG
rnacentral:rRNA from 1 species